GCCACAUCAUGAUAUCAAGGCUGCUGUGAUUCAAGUGGUUUGGCUAUACCUGAGGACCUUUGACCUCCUAAGGUCUGAAACCUUGGUGGACAGUGCAGUUACAGUGUCCACUGUAAAGGCAUAGCAACAAGACCUUUGUCCUGUUUUUCAACUACCUCUCUUCAGUAGAGAUGAUGAAUCUUUAAAGGUUGUUCCAAAUUAUGUUCCUCUCACUAGCGUACAGAUCACAUACCAGUGUUUGCUCUUUCUCAAUGUUAGUAUAAUUUUUACUUCUGAAGUUU
ensembl:snoRNA